rnacentral:rRNA from 1 species
CCUACGGGAGGCAGCAGUGGGGAAUAUUGCACAAUGGGGGAAACCCUGAUGCAGCGACGCCGCGUGAGUGAAGAAGUAAUUCGGUAUGUAAAGCUCUAUCAGCAGGGAAGAAAAUGACGGUACCUGAGUAAUAAGCCCCGGCUAACUACGUGCCAGCAGCCGCGGUAAUACGUAGGGGGCAAGCGUUAUCCGGAUUUACUGGGUGUAAAGGGAGCGUAGACGGCAGUGCAAGUCUGGAGUGAAAGGCGGGGGCUCAACCCCCGGACUGCUCUGGAAACUGUACGGCUGGAGUGCAGGAGAGGUAAGUGGAAUUCCUAGUGUAGCGGUGAAAUGCGUAGAUAUUAGGAGGAACACCAGUGGCGAAGGCGGCUUACUGGACUGUAACUGACGUUGAGGCUCGAAAGCGUGGGGAGCAAACAGGAUUAGAUACCCCUGUAGUC